AUGGGGCCCAGAGAGCCCCGAGCUGGGGAGGGGAGGGGACUCCCCCGGACUGCCUCAGGGGGGCCCGGCCAUGGAACCGCCCUGCUCGCUGCCCCCAGUCCCCGGACCCCCCUGAGCCCCUGGCCCGGCUCCGCUGUCGCCGCCGCCUCCGCCGCCUCCGCUUGCGCCCCCCUCCCAUCACAUGGGGCGCCCCCUCCCCAUGCUCCCCGCCCUGCGCCCCCACCCCCUUGGAGCCCCGGGACCUUGGUGCUGCUCCAGGGAGGCGCGCCGGACCGUGCACCCUGGCCUAGGUGGGGGCGCCGAGAUGGGCGGAGGAGGGCGGGGAGGACAGUAGUGGGGGGCAAAUGGGGGAGAUGGAGGAAAAGAGGCAGAAAAGGGGACCAGAGGCUGGGGGAGAAGAACCGGUGCGGGAGAGACAGGGGUGGGAAACAGAGACUCAAGGGACAGGGGCGCGGAUGCAGUCGGAGAGGGGGUCUUGAGGGUGGGAAGCUAGCGGGGCUGGCCGUGGGGAGGAUUCGCAGGGGCGCGGGGAGGAUGCUGGGGAUGGAGAUACAGGAGGUGGCGGGGGAGGAAGGAGGGAGCGGGAGGGGGUGGGAACCCUGGGGUCUGGGGUCUAGGAGGGGAGGGGGCGUGAGAUCUCGGCAGAGUCCCGGGGCCUCGCCCGGGUUCGGCUGGGUCCGGAUGCGCGCUGUGUCCGGGCGCUCCCCUCACAUUGAGGAGGAGGCGGCCCCCGGCCCCCCCCACCUCCUCUCCCCCCCACCUCUCCACCAGCACCGCUGUCUGCGAGGGCGGUACAAAAUCCAGGACUGGAUUUCCCUCCCAAAUCCUGGGCUGGAUUUGCUGGGACUGGGACUCACCUUCUCCUACAACCUAGCCCCUUCCUAUCGCCAGCCAGGUUGGGCAGCGACUUGUGGGAGCGACUGUCGGGGUGUGGUAUUUAGGGGUAAAGGUGACAGUUGCCAGAAACGGAGAAAACUGGGGUCACUGCCAGUUCUAGGGGAGCUGAAGUGGGAAAGUAGGGAACCCUGAAAUCCUUUCCCCAGGACUCCUCUCCCCUUUCUGUACCUGGAUAAGUUCAUUUUCUCAUCACCCAGCUCCCUCUCCCACCCACAUCUCCACAUUUAGUGCUUUGGUGGGGCUCUGACUUGCGCUGACUGUCCCAAAGUGAACUUGAAAAGUGUUCCCCAGGGAAGGGGACAAACAUGGAACUUAGCGGGGGAUGGGGGGUUGCCUGCGGGGGAAGAGAUAUUAGGACUCAAGAGCCUUGACUGCUGGGGUGAGACCAAGUCCCCAGAUCAAGGUAGAGGGAAUAGAACUACAUCUACCAAUCUACACCCCCCAUACCAAAAUGCAUCCAGUCUCCAUAGCAACCAGAGCUCCAAGAGUGCCUCAGAAGCAGCAGGGAUACACAGAGAGGACGGAUGGUGCGUACUGUGGGUGGGGGCCCGCCAGGGGAUGCUGGGUUAGUGAAGGCACUACCCUCACACCUGGUUACCCACCUGUGGGUAUUUUGCCCCCCAGUAUAAGGACCCCCUCAGUUGAGGCAGCAGCAGCUGGCCUCCUCUGAGUUUCCGUUUAGUCUCCUGAGCUUUAUGGGGCAGCGCUUUUGGAAGGUUAAAGAAAGCUGGUGGGCUUGUUGCUCAUUGGAGUGGCUGCUUGGGGCAAGGGCCUGGGUCUGGUGUCCAACAUCCACAUCAUUGGAGGAGUCAUUGCUGUAGGAGUCUUCCUUCUCCUCAUCGCAGUGGUUGGACUGGUGGGU